GGGAACAACAGAUUUCCAGCUUCUACGACGCUCUGCCUAAAUUAAAAAGCAACCAAUCGGAACGGCCGGAAGGGGGGCCAGGCGUCCUAAGCCAGUCAUUCCAGGCUUGCCAAUCACCCAGCGGGUAGCCAAUCAGCAGGGGCCCUGGUGCUCGACUUCCUUGUUUUUGGGAAAGUGUGGUGGUGGGUGCGCGCUUGCGGCGGAGGGUAAACAUUCGACAGUCCCUGCUCUGAGAGGGAGGGACGGAGAGCGAACUGUCAGAUCCUAGCGGGAGCGGGCGCUCGAGAGAAGGAGAGAGAGAGGGAGAGAGAGAGAGAGUGAGAGAGAGAGGGAAAGUGAGACAGAGAGAAAGAGAGAGAAUCCGGGCGCAGAGCUAGCUCCGGCUGCAACUCUGCCCCGGCACGCCUGCUCCCGCGCCCGCCGUCGGGUACUCUAGGAGCGGUACAACGUGCCCACAGGAGUUGGUUGUGUAUCAAGGAUUCCCUGUAUGCACACACACAUCUCCACCUCCACCAAUGCACUCUUCUUCCUCCUCCUUCUCCAGACAACUGCCGGGGAAAAAUUAAAACAUCAACCCCAACCUUCAGCAACAAGGAAAGAUGUCGCACCAGACUGUGAGUGUCGCGAGGAACAUGAAAAGGGACUCUUGUUUCAGAGACGUCCAAGAGCUCCGGCAAUAACAACUUCAGAGAAAUGCACCAUCGCAAGAAGUUUUCCUAGGACAAAACAAAACUUGAAAGAAGCGAACCAGGGGGGCAGAACAGGAGCCAGCCUCCCCACUCCGCAGACGCGAGCCGCCAGCAUCACCACGCCUGUAAGGACCGGAAAAGUUUUACUAUAGUAAGGGGAAACAGUAAGCUGUGUUGCUGAAGAUCAGGGAAGACAGCGGACCAACUAGGAGCGGCCGGAUUGCUGGCCACCCACAAUUUGGCCAAGGAAGAAAGGAACCGCUUCGUCCUUUGUUGUCUCCCGUGAAACCUUCGCUUAGCAGGUGGACAGAGCCCUGUGCCGGGCCAGAGUCCGCACUCGUCCGAGGACAGGA
rnacentral:lncRNA from 1 species